GGGGCGCGGGGCCGGGAGAGCCACAGGGAGUCCGCGCGCAAUCGAGCGCCGAUGGCACGGAUGCGAGGCGGGGAAGGCCGAGCCGAAGGGCAGAGCCGCGCCGGCGGCCGGAGGGGACCGCGCGGGGAGGGGCGGCCGCGCAGCGCGGAGGGACGGGGCGCGGGGCGGGCCCCGGGGAGCCGCUGGGGGGGCGGCCUGGGCCGGGCAGGCACACGGCUCCGAGCCCAGCGCAGCCAAGCCGGUCCGCAGAGGGGCCCCAGAACUUUGUGUGUGUGUGUGUGUGUGUGUGUGUGUGUGUGCACGUGUGUCUGUGCGCGCGCGCGUGUGUGUGCCAGGGUGCGAGGGUGCGCGCGUGCUGGCCCGGAGCGGAACCGACCCUAAGGAGAGCCCCCGGCUGGCAAAGUGGUUCGCCCGUCUCGCAGCCCGUUGGUUCUCGCGGAGAAUCCUAGGCUACUGUUGCUGAAAAGGACCUCAGAGGUCAUCUGGGCCAGCCCUGCCCUUUGAGAGUUGAAGAAACGAAGUCCAGAGAAGUAAAAUCUGUUGUCCAAUAUCACACAGUAUUGAAGCUUAGGAACAGGAGACGUACGCUGCCUGGACUGCCUGGCUGAUGUGAGCUAGUUUGUCUGCUAGCCAGUUUGAGUUGGAUGUUUAAAUAGGAGGCAGAACAACAACAGGGUGUCGUGAUCUGUUGCCCAGGCUGGAAUGUAGUUGCAAUGGCAUAAUCACAAUUCACUGCAGCCUCAACCUCCUGGACUCAAGCAACCCUCCUCCCUCAGCCCCCUGUAGCUGGGACUACAGGCAUGCACCACCAUGGCUAAUUAUUAUUAUUAUUUUUUUUUUUUUUUGAGACAGAGUCUAGCUCUGUCACCCAGACUGGAGUGCAAUGGCACGAUCUCAGCUCACUGCAACCUCUGCCUCCCAGGUUCAAGUGAUUCUCCUGCCUCAGCCUCCCUAGUAGCUGGAAUUACAGGCGCCCGCCACCAUGCCCAGCUAAUUUUUGUAGUUUUAGUAGAGAUGGGAUUUCACUGUGUUGGUCAGGCUGGUUUUGAACUCCCGACCUUGUGAUCCACCCAUCUCAGCCUCCCAAAGUGCUGGGAUUACAGGCAUGAACCACCAUGCCUGGCCAUGACUGACUAAUUUUUAAAAUUGGUUUGUAGAAAAAUGGUCUCACUGUGUUGCCCAGGCUGCUCUUGGACUCCUGGGCUCAAGCAAUCCUCCCACCUUGGCCUCCCAAAGUGCUGGAAUUACAGGUGUGAACCAUCUCACCGGCCUUUAAUCUCCUUAUUAAUGAAAUAUCUGACCCAAGGGCUAGGAUUUGAUGGUCUUUUUAGUAUGACCUCAAAUCACUAUAUUCUGUAAGCACCUUUUUCUCUUUGAGUUGGAGUCUCUAUUGCCCAGGCUGGAGUGCAGUGGCGUGAUCUCAGCUCACUGCAACUUCUGCCUCCUGGGUUCAAGUGGAUUCUCCUGCCUCAGCAGGAGAAUAGCUGGGACCGCAGCUGCCUGCCACCACACCCAGCUAAUUUUUGUAUUUUUACUAGCAAUGGGGUUUCACCACAUUGGCCAGGCUGGUCUGGAACUCCUGACCUCAAGUGAUCUGCCCAGCUCGGCCUCCCAAAGUGCUGGGAUUAUAGGCAUGAGUCACUGCACCCCAGCCUAUAAACAUGUUUUCUUCUGGAGUGUUUUCAGGUCCGUACAUGGAGUCCUAGGUCAAUGGCUUCACCAACUCACACUGAGCCCUAACCGUGGAAUCCGAGCAACAUCAUAGUUAGGUCCAGGGGCAAAAUACCAAAGUCAUCUGUUUCUGGGUUCCAUUAUUUCCUCCUCUCCAUACAUUACGCAUACAACGGUUUUCUUUUAUCACACAUUCCUGUGACCAAGUGGCAAUCAUUCUACUCCAAACUGCUGCUACACAAUUUGAGGCUUGCUAAAUUUGCCUUAGCCACAAAGCUGAUGGAGUGUUAGUUUAACAUGUAAGUAGGGACCAUGAGGAUCUUUCUGGGUAACAUUCAAGCUACUCCUCCUACUGCGACUAUUACUACUAAAUGCAUUAUUAUGAUUUCGGUGACAGACAAACACUAAAUGCUAACAGCUAAAUGCUAACAGCCUAACACAGUGAAAGUUUGUUUCUCAUCCUUACAACAGUCAGUGUAGGGGUUUAGCAAGUGGCCUUCCACAUAGUAAUUCAGAGACCCAGGCUUCCCUCACCAGUGAGUGGGAACUUCGGAGGCCUUCACUUCCAGCUGGCGGAUAGAAGGGGAGAAUGGAGGUUAUCCCCAUGGGAGAUUUUUAGGGGCCAGGCCUAGGCAUGGAGUGCUGGUUCCCUCUGCACUCCAUGGAACACAGCUCAGUGACACAGUGACAUGGCCACAUCUAACCGCAGGGAGGCUGGGAAAUGAGCACAUAUGUUGCAGUUACUAAAAAUAAUGUCUGAGUUAUACCCAUUGGCCAAGGGGAAGUGUCCAUGAUAUAUUCGUGAGAGGAGUAAUUUUCAGUGUAUGGUGUAUUAUGUAAUAUUAAUAAAAAGAAAUGUGAAAA